GCUGGAUAGCUCUGUUGGUUAGAGUAUGGUGCUAAUAACACCAAGGUUGCAGAUUCAAUCUCUGUAUGGGACAGCUGCA